GAUCCUUUAACCCACUGAGGGGACCAAGGAUUGAACCUGCUUCUUCAUAGUUUCCAGAGAUGGUACAUCCUAUUCUCAGUCUCCUGAGACGUCACGCCUCCUGAAAUGAGGGUAGUUACACAUGGUAGAAGCAGUAAGUGUGAAAUUCCAUCUAGACUCUGAAUGCACAGGGCUGAAACCCUGGAUCUGAGCCGCUCGGCAGUGGUAUCCUCACCGCAUGGGUGAUCCGCUUGGUCUUCUGGAGAAUGAAAAGCCAGACCCAACUCAAAGCCGCAAGUUCAAGCCUUAGGAUUCGCCCAGGGAAGACGUGUGAGAAUUCCUGUCUUCAAGGCACUGAGAAUCCCAACAGACAACACACAUGAAGCGGGCAGGAAACACCUCCAUGCCAGGCUGUGAGGGCCAUACCCGCUGCAUAUGGAAAUUCCCAGACAAAAAAAGAAAAAGAAAAAGAAGAGCUGACUGUACUGUUCCUGCAGGUAGGAAGAUUUGCCCAUAAAAGGUCUUGCCCACUGAUUAUCACUUGGAGUAGGCCCUCCCCCAUCCCCCACCCCCUCAUCUCCCCAACCCCCAACCCCGUACCCUCCCCACCAUGGCUGGCAUCCGAAAUAAAGCCAACUUUCCUUUCCACCAACCUUGCUCUUGUUUGGCUUUAGAGCAUCCAGCAGCCGGACCCCACUUUCAGUAACAAUCAGGGUCCAGGCUUCCCUAAUGAGACCCAAGAGAGUGGCCCAGGGGUUAGAAAUGACGGUGACAGCUGCUGCCUGGCAACUUGGAGAAACUCAGUUUGUGUUCUCGCCUGUGCUUCUGUGACUCUCUUCACAACCUCCAAGGAGGUUCAUCCUCCGAAUGCAGCAUAAAGCCCUUAGCCUCGACCAGGGCUUGUGGGAACCUGCAGGGCCUGGGGCAGCAGCUCCGGCCUCCGGAAGCAUCCACUGUGAUGGGAGAGCCAUGGUUUUCAGCCCCAAACAUCCCAUAGGACCCCCGCUUCUGUUCUUCAGUUAACUCCCAGUUGCAGGUUUCAUUUCCCUGCAUCUUGACUCCGCAGACGGAUGGCGAGGUGAUGCAUUCAGCCAGGGCCAUGUGGGUUUAGGGAGCCUCUGGAUGGCUUGUCCGCUGGUGACCUAGACCCUGUCACCACUGUGUGGAGAUCCUAACAGGACGCUUUCCUUAUAAAACCUAAGCCGGAGCUUCCGUUGUGGCGUAGUGGAAACAAAACUGACGAGUAUCCAUGAGGAUGUGGUUUCAAUUCCUGGCCUUGCUCAGUGGGUCGGGGA